rnacentral:rRNA from 1 species
CCUACGGGAGGCAGCAGUGGGGAAUGUUGCGCAAUGCUCGUAAGAGUGACGCAGCGACGCCGCGUGAAUGACGAAGGCCUUCGGGUCGUAAAGUUCUUUCGACAGGGAAGAAAAUGCCGAUAAGUAACUGUGUAUGUAUGGACGGUACCUGUAUAAGCAGCCCCGGCUAACUCCGUGCCAGCAGCCGCGGUAAUACGGAGGGGGCGAGCGUUGGUCGGAGGGACGGGGCGUAAAGAGCACGUAGGCGGUGUUGUAAGUCAUGAGUCAAAGACUAGCGCUCAACUUUAGUAAGGCUAGUGAUACUCUCAUACUAGAGUAUCAGAGACGAUUGCCGAAUUCCUUGUGUAGCGGU